rnacentral:tRNA from 2 species
GCGGAAAUGACGGAAUUGGCAGACGUGCAGGAUUUAGGUUCCUGUGUCGCAAGGCGUGAGGGUUCGAGUCCCUUUUUCCGCA